CCUACUUAGCUACUGAUAUAACUAGCUACCCCAUUCAGAGGUAACUGAUUUAGCGCCUAUUGAUGAUAGUAGUAUCUUCGGACAGGGGGUGUUUUGUUAAGAGCCCCAGCACUUGCUCUAAACAUUAACUCAUCGCUUGCGGUACGUUUUUGAAAACACAAGGAACGUAUAUUUCAUAUCGGCAAGAAAAAAUAAAUAAUACAAUUUAAAUUAUAACACACCUUCAAAGGGUUAGUGUUCCCACACAGCCAUAUGUCCAUGUUACAUCAUUUAUGGGAGACACAGGUGGCCACCUGUUCUAAUUAACUAUCUCGUGUUCGAGUUUAACUGGAGGGGACGUGUAGUUUGUCAACUAGAGGCACACAGCUUGUGGAUCUGUUCCAAACUGCUACAGUAAGGAAAUGAAGCCAGCGAACACCAAGAAUGGUGUCCCUGUACUCCAUUCAGCAAAAGAUGGGUGCAAACCCAAGAAAUUCACCCCAGAUGAAGUACUGGUACCAAAUCCCAGCUUCAAAGAAAAUCAAGGAACGAAAAGAAAG